ACACUCAUGGUGAAGUGGUUAUCAUGCUUGCCUUCCAUUCUCCCUAAUAGAUAGGUAGCAAGCGGCACGGGUUCGAUUCCCGUUGGGUGUA